rnacentral:rRNA from 1 species
AUUGAACGCUGGCGGCAUGCUUUACACAUGCAAGUCUAACGGUAACAGGCCGCAAGGUGCUGACGAGUGGCGAACGGGUGCGUAAUGCAUCGGAACGUGCCCAGUCGUGGGGUAUAACUACUCGAAAGAGUAGCUAAUAUCGCAUACGAUCUAUGGCUGAAAGCGUUGGACCGUAAGGCCUCGCGCUAUUGGAGCGGCCGUUGUCUGAUUAGGUAGUUGGUGUGGUUAAGGCUCACUAAGCCAACGAUCUGUAGCUGGUCUGAGAGGACGACCAGACACACUGGGACUGAGACACGGCACAGAAUCCUAAGGGAGGAAGCAGUGGGGAAUUUUAGACAAUGGGCGCAAGCAUGAUCCAGCAAUGCCGCGUGCAGGAAGAAGGCCUUCGGGUUGUAAACUGCUUUUGUAAGGAACGAAACGGCUCUGGUUAAUACCCGGGGCUAAUGACGGUACCGUAAGAAUAAGCACCGGCUAACUACGUG